rnacentral:rRNA from 1 species
AGUCGUGGGGGAUAACGCAGCGAAAGCUGUGCUAAUACCGCAUACGAUCUAUGGAUGAAAGCGGGGGAUCGCAAGACCUCGCGCGAUUGGAGCGGCCGAUAUCAGAUUAGCUAGUUGGUGGGGUAAAGGCCCACCAAGGCGACGAUCUGUAGCUGGUCUGAGAGGACGACCAGCCACACUGGAACUGAGACACGGUCCAGACUCCUACGGGAGGCAGCAGUGGGGAAUUUUGGACAAUGGGCGCAAGCCUGAUCCAGCAAUGCCGCGUGCAGGAUGAAGGCCUUCGGGUUGUAAACUGCUUUUGUACGGAACGAAACGGUCCUUUCUAAUAUAAGGGGCUAAUGACGGUACCGUAAGAAUAAGCACCGGCUAACUCCGUGCCAGCAGCCGCGGUAAUA